UUGCGUUUGUUUACGUUGAUGAUGUGUUGUGCCCUCUCGACCCAUUCAAGAAUGUCUUAAGAACUUAAGAAAGGACAUUGACGCCCUUAAAUAUACAAAAGUGUAACUUUUUCCAAACAUCUGUGAAAUAUUUAGGUGUGAUCGAAAAAGGACUGGCUGUAUAUUUUAGACAUCUUGUGAAAAACUUUGCAACUUUAACAGCACCGAUAUCUGCACUGUUACGUGAGGAAAAUCUUUUGAAUGGACAUAAGCAAGUUCGUUAGGAUUAGAUGUCGCUAUUAGCUGUCGAAUAGAGGAAAGUUGAAACCAAAGUAUCACGGACCCUUUGAGGUAACGCAUUGUUUACCUAAUGAGAGGUACGCACUCCGAAGGAUUGGCAGCCGAGGUAGAACUACAAUAGCAGCGCAUGAACAGUUACGAACCUGGCCAGAUACAGAAAUUCUAUAAGAUUACCGGUGUCAGGUGAAUCUUUGCAAAACUGUGGAAGGUGCGAGGACGCCCCACAUGUCAGGAAGGCCGUGUUAGCUUACGUCAUCACCUUCACCGAUGGACCGAUGCGACGUGCUCACAUCUAUUUAGACUAGUUUUGUUUCAUAAGCAAAUCUGAAGUAUUUGUUUACAUUUAAUAAUCGGGGCAGUUCUUAAGAAAGAACCGAGCAGUCAAGCUUUAGAUGUCGAGGGUUAAACUACGUUUGUUGUAAUAAAGCGUAUUAUUGUGAA